rnacentral:rRNA from 1 species
UACGGAGGGGGCUAGCGUUGUUCGGAAUUACUGGGCGUAAAGCGCACGUAGGCGGAUCAGCCAGUCAGAGGUGAAAGCCCAGGGCUCAACCUUGGAAUUGCCUUUGAUACUGUUGAUCUGGAGUCCGGGAGAGGUGUGUGGAAUUCCGAGUGUAGAGGUGAAAUUCGUAGAUAUUCGGAGGAACACCAGAGGCGAAGGCGACACACUGGACCGGUACUGACGCUGAGGUGCGAAAGCGUGGGGAG